CCAAUGGCGUAUAUUAAAGUUGCUGCAGUUAAAAAGCUCGUAGUUGAAUUUCGGGACUAAUAUGUUGGUCGUGCCUCGGUACGUACUGGUAUUUUUGGUUUCUCCCUUCUGACGAACCUUGAUGUCAUUAAUUUGGUGUCUUGGGAAAUCAGGACUGUUACUUUGAAAAAAUUAGAGUGUUUAAAGCAGGCUCACGCUUGAAUACAUUAGCAUGGAAUAAUGAAAUAGGACGUUUGAUUCUAUUUUGUUGGUUUCUAGGAUCGACGUAAUGAUUAAUAGGGAUAGUUGGGGGCAUUAGUAUUCAAUUGUCAGAGGUGAAAUUCUUGGAUUUAUUGAAGACUAACUACUGCGAAAGCAUUUGCCAAGGAUGUUUUCAUUAAUCAAGAACGAAAGUUAGGGGAUCGAAGACGAUCAGAUACCGUCGUAGUCUUAACCAUAAACUAUGCCGACUAGGGAUCGGAUGAUGUUAAUUUUUUAAUGACUCAUUCGGCGCCUUACG
rnacentral:rRNA from 1 species